rnacentral:lncRNA from 1 species
AAAAAAAAAAGAGUAUUUUUUUUUCAGUUGAAUCGUGUCUUUUCCUUCAUACUUUUCCGUGUCUUAUUCAUUCCUUCCUUCACUCGAGUCUGGCCAUUUCAUUGUGUCCCCCGAGUCAAUAAUUUUAUUAUUCCAUCUAUUGAGCAUUCUCCAUUCUAAUCAUCUUGAAGGUAUUAUUGAGAAUUGUCACAUUCUCGCGACCAAAAUUGGUAAGUUGAUCGUUUGCCUGAAGGAGUUCUAAUUUCUUCAAGGUAAGCUAUCAAAAGGCUUUGAGAGCAUUGGGUGAGAUUAUUAGAGUGUCCCUUGAGCGACAAACAUGAGAGCUGAGUAUAAACACGCGAGGGAGUGCGUAAGGACAAUAUCUAGUUGUUUCUCUACUAACUUUUUGCAAGUUAACUAAAGCAUGUCGGACGGAGGUGACACAUCCAUAUUUGACCCCAAAUUGAAUAACCAAGUAUUGAUGGGGGAGUUUCAACGCAUGUUUAGGGAGUCUAUGGAGUCCCGACACCAAAGGAUGGAUC